rnacentral:rRNA from 1 species
UACAGAGGGUGCGAGCGUUGUCCGGAAUCACUGGGCGUAAAGGGCGCGUAGGCGGUCUCUUAAGCGUGUGGUGAAAGCCCGGAGCUCAACUCCGGGUCGGCCAUGCGAACUGGGAGACUGGAGCUUGUCAGAGGCAGGCGGAAUUCCGGGUGUAGCGGUGGAAUGCGUAGAGAUCCGGAAGAACACCGGUGGCGAAGGCGGCCCGCUGGGACAGGUAG